rnacentral:misc_RNA from 1 species
AAAAUUAAAGUGGCCCAUGAAACACUGUUUAUUAGAUUCUACAGUAAAUAAUACUUACAAACUAUUUCACGAAAAUAUAAAUUAAGACUUAACAAACAUCUCUUAAUUGCUAAAGUAACAACGAGAGGAAGAAAUAUGUUAUUCCCAAUUCCAUAUCCACUCACCUGAAGCACCAAAAAAAGUUGCGUUGUGAUGAUAUCCUCAACCGACUGUAUGAGCUGUGAUGUUUAGCUACAUUAGUAAGGCUUUGUCCAGAGUUGCUCCUCAUAUUUUGACUGUGUCUUUGCAUCUUUGGGACGUUCACAAGUGCACUUCUUGCAGACCAUGUUGCUUCUGAAGUUCAAGAAGUCACAUGAGGGGCACUCCCAUUCUCCAGGAUUCAGCUGUCUCUUGGGACGCUGCUCUUGGCAGCGUAAACACUUGGUAUUGCUAGCAAAAUUCAUGAAUGUACAUUGUGGGCAAUUCCAAUCUCCCUUUUUCAUUUCUUUAACCACAGGAGCAUCUCGACUAGGUCCUUUUGAUUUGCAUCUCAGGCACUGUGCAUUGCGGGCGAAGUUCAUGAAAGUGCACUGCGAACAGAUCCAAUCUCCUUGCUUCAUUUCAACAUUUCUUUUAGGCAUUUCACCCUCAAGACCAGUUGAAUUUCUUCUUUUCAUUUCAACAUCUUCCAGACCAUCUGUCCUUGAGCCAACAGACUCUUUCUUUCUUGGAGAAGCCUUGGGGGCAGGUGUUAGAUGAUCAGGAUCAAUAGGUGUCUCACUUAAUUCAACCAACUCUGAGAGCAAUUGUCUUGCAGAUACCUCGAUAAGCUCACUACC